AUCCCGUGGUGAGGACAUUGUCUAAGAAACUCCUUGAAUAUUUCCCAUGCAUCAAAUAGGGACUCAUCCUCUUCUUGUCUGAAUGAAGUGAUUUCAUUUCUCAUCUU